rnacentral:rRNA from 1 species
AACGGCCGCGGUAUACUGACCGUGCAAAGGUAGCAUAAUCAUUAGUCUUUUAAAAGAGGGCUGGAAUGAAAGGUUUGACGAAGUAUUAGCUGUCUCAUCUUAUUUGAAAUUAAAAUUUAACUUUUUAGUCAAAAGGCUUAAAUUUUAUUGGAAGACGAGAAGACCCUAUAGAGCUUUAUAUUAUCUAUUUUAAUUAUUUAUAUAUAAUUUUUAAUUAAAUGUGAAUAUUAUUUUGUUGGGGUGACAAGAAAAUAGAAUUAACUUUUUUAUUUAUUUAACAUUAAUAUAUGAUUAUUUGAUCCAUUACUAUUGAUUAUUAGAUUAAGUUACCUUAGGGAUAACAGCGUAAUCCUCCCCCAGAGUUCAUAUUUACGGGUAGGGCUUGCGACCUCGAUGUUGGAUUAAGAUAAUAACUAGGUGUAGCCGCUUAGUUUAUAGGUCUGUUCGAC